rnacentral:rRNA from 1 species
UACGUAGGGUGCGAGCGUUGUCCGGAAUUACUGGGCGUAAAGAGCUCGUAGGUGGUUUGUCGCGUUGUCCGUGAAAACUCACAACUCAAUUGUGGGCGUGCGGGCGAUACGGGCAGACUGGAGUACUGCAGGGGAGACUGGAAUUCCUGGUGUAGCGGUGAAAUGCGCAGAUAUCAGGAGGAACACCGGUGGCGAAGGCGGGUCUCGUGGGCCGAUACUGACGCUGAGGAGCGAAAGCAUGGGUAGCGAACAGG